rnacentral:ncRNA from 1 species
ACCGUUCAUCUUUCUAAGUCUGAGUGCUUCUAAGUCUAAGCACUUAGUCCUAAAUGCCCAGUCUCAUCUGACAUUCAUAUGCUUAAGCAAAGCUGUGCAGCAUUAGUCGAGCUAGGCAGAAGCCAAGUGGCCUUAGGCUAGAGAAAGACGGAAGUAGGAGCCUAUAGCUCCGAAGGAACGCGCC